CCUACGGGGGGCCGCAGUGAGGAAUAUUGGUCAAUGGACGAGAGUCUGAACCAGCCAAGUAGCGUGAAGGAUGACUGCCCUAUGGGUUGUAAACUUCUUUUAUAUGGGAGUAAAACAGGGUAUGCAUACCCUCUUGUAUGUACCAUAUGAAUAAGGAUCGGCUAACUCCGUGCCAGCAGCCGCGGUAAUACGGAGGAUCCGAGCGUUAUCCGGAUUUAUUGGGUUUAAAGGGAGCGUAGGUGGAUUGUUAAGUCAGUUGUGAAAGUUUGAGGCUCAACCGUAAAAGUGCAGUUGAAACUGGCAGUCUUGAGUACAGGAGAGGUGGGCGGAAUUCGUGGUGUAGCGGUGAAAUGCUUAGAUAUCACGAAGAACGCCGAUUGCGAAGGCAGCUUACUGGACUGCAACUGACACUGAUGCUCGAAAGUGUGGGUAUCAAACAGGAUUAGAUACCCGAGUAGUC
rnacentral:rRNA from 1 species